AAAACCUUUGGUGACUAACUUAUUGCUGUCACAGAAAGAAAAAGGCAUAUUUUGUAUCAAAAUUACCUAAAUCAAAAGUGAAUUCCUAAAUCGAUGAGCUUCCUUUUCAUCGUUGCUCUCUUCAUUCAUUACUAAUUGCUCUCUUCAUUCGACCCCCUAUAGUUAGAUUGGUUGCUCCCUUCAUCGUUGUAUCUCCUCACUCUCUAUACUCCUAAUCAGUAAUGAAACCCUAGCCACUAUCUCCAUUCACUUUAUUCCCUGUUUUGCUCCCUCUUCAUCUUCGACUCUCUUCAUCAUUGUAUUUUCUUACCAGUUGUGCUGCUUUUCUUUCACAGAAACACUGAUAGUUACAUUCUAAAAUUACUUAAAAAGAUGUCUGUGAGAGAUGCUCUAAACCCUACUCUUGAUGAAGAAAUGUCUGUUGAUCUUAGAGUUUUUUUAAUGGGUGAAGUGUCAUUGGAGUAGGCGCUGCUUAUUUUGGUCUUAGGCCUGUUGUGGAGUUUAUGACGUUUAAUUUUUCAAUGCAGGUAACAGAAUUUCUACCCUUGAUGAUACAGUUAUGGAGACAAUGGCUGAAGGAGGGGAGUUUCGAUAUAACAUUUCCCAUUUAGCAAAUUAUUCUGAUAUAGAAGAGAAAUCAAUGGAAAAGUUUCUUUCUGUAAUAUCAUCAUUCAGGUGCUCCUCAUCUGGUUCUCGUGCUAGUGGUCUCUGUGCCCCUCUAAAAGAUGUGCAGAACACAUGUACUAGUAGUGUGACAAUGGCUGGUAUGCAUUAGAUUGCAGCAUACCAUCUAUUUUAUCAGUUAUAAGGGAUUGGCCUUAAUGCUUCAACCAGCUCAGGUUGAUGUACCUAACAGUCCACAACAUGUUGGGAAUCUUGUCAAUCUCAAUGCUAUGGUGGAAAAGAAAAGGCCCCUUAUAUAUGUUUAUGAUUUGCCCCCAGAAUUCAAUAGUCUUUUUCUUGAGGGAUGACAUUUCAAGUUUGAUUAAUAUUUUCCAUCAAUGAAGCAUUCUCUAGUUAGAUUAAAUCCCUAUUUUCUUUGGUAGCUAGAGGCGUAGUCAUAUGGACCUGAGUUUUCCGGUGCAUUAAUUCUAAGUUGUGCUUAUACGUGGAGUUUUUGAUAUACUUUGCAUCAGUCAAAUAUGACAUGCAUUUGAAAUCUUUGAGGGCUUUGUUAAAUAUGUUUUUGAUGUGGUGAAUUCGUUGUAAACUAAAAAGAUGGAUAAUUAUUUUGGACUUGUAAUGAGUUCAUAUUGACAGAUGGUAGUAAUUAGAUAGAUUAACUACUAUUUUGACUUUAUAAUUGAUGAUUUUUUG